rnacentral:lncRNA from 1 species
ACUGAUCAGACAAAAAUCAGAGAGCCUACUGCUGUUAGACUUAAGUCUGUUCUGCAAAAGCCUAGCUAAAGGUGUCUUAGUUCACAAAUUGCUUUAUGAUCUUAGUCUUUUAUCCAACAUGUUGUCAGAUCAGUAUCACUAAUGACGUUCUUAUUGUAUUUCUUCUCUAUUGUGUAGCUAUUUAGCCAUGAAGAGCCUAACCUUGUGAAAUCCUUACAUAAGACUUGAGCAGAUUUUGCUUACAUCAAAUCUAAACUAAAACUUAAACCUGGAUAGGAUUGUUUCUCUCUGUGACCCACUUCAACUACAUUGACACAGGGUCCUAUGUUAUUGAAAGAACACAGAAAUCAGCAUAGCCACUGUGGUGUAAUAAGGAGCAGAAAUGGAACACAGCCUAAGCUCUCAUUUCCAAAGCUAUAUAACAUAUUUUUUUGCUCACGUUAAACCUUGAAAGUUGCAUUGGUCUUGCUAUUAUGAAAUCAGAUGUGUUCAUAGCAGCUUUAAUGUUAAUUAAAGUUCUGUAUAGCUACUUAUUACCUUGUUUAUUUGUUUUAUUCAGGAAAAAAAAUGCAAAAAUAGAAGCAUUUACGUGAGCCAAAAGAUUUUUGCGGUGUAGUAGAAACUUCACUCUUAUCUGAAUCAAUUGCUACAGAAACUGAGGCAUCCUAAUAAGGAACAAAAAGCAUAGGUUGAACAGAGCAUCCUGAAUUCCUAGAAAAGUCCAGACAAUUAGGGAAUCAAAAUGAAGAAAACUGCUUGAGACAGUUCUACGUGUGCCUUCUGAAUUUUGUAGGGGUAGGACAGAAAAAAGGCAAGAGAGUUAACCUUCCAUGUACUGGUAUGUCUUCACACUAGGUGUUUGUGCCUUGAAGAUAUGGACUGAUCAGAUGUCCCAGAGGAGUAUGAAUCAACAGCCUGGAUGUGUUAUGGCUGCAACCAAUGAAGUUCAGCUAUUUCACAAGACUUGCUCCCAUCCCAGUCACUGUGUUCAGCUCUGGUUUCACUUCGUGUGCGGAUCUCCCAACAGGCUGACAGAAGCAGACAUGAAUUCGUGAUGAGGAGCAAUGCAGUACACUAGGUUAGUGCACCAACUGAGAUGUAAUCCAGAGAACUGUUUUCCUUGCAAUAGAGGAGGCUUUCUCAGACUGGAAAAAGAAAAGGGAUAAUCAACCUUUUCUAAAAUGUGGGAAGUUUUAUGUUGCAAACUGUGGGAUUUCAGUAUUCACAAGGACCAUCAGCUAGCAAUUAUUCUGUAAGCUCUU